CCCUUAGAGUUUGAUCCUGGCUCAAAAUCAACGCUGGCGGCGUGCCUCAGACAUGCAAGUCGAACGAUUAAACUUCCCUUCGGGGAAGAUAUAAAGUGGCGCACGGGUGAGUAACACGUAGGUAAUCUACCUUUGAGUGGGGAAUAACAAUCGGAAACGAUUGCUAAUACCGCAUAAUGCAGCGGCACCGCAAGGUGACAGUUGUUAAAGGAGCAAUCCGCUUAAAGAGGAGCCUGCGGCAAAUUAGCUUGUUGGUAAGGUAAUGGCUUACCAAGGCUACGAUCUGUAACCGACCUGAGAGGGUGGUCGGUCACACUGACACUGAAUAACGGGUCACACUCCUACGGGAGGCAGCAGUCGGGAAUUUUGGGCAAUGGGCGAAAGCCUGACCCAGCAACGCCGCGUGAAGGAUGAAGUCUUUCGGGAUGUAAACUUCGUAAGAAUGGAAAGAAUAAAUGACGGUACCAUUUGUAAGGUCCGGCUAACUACGUGCCAGCAGCCGCGGUAAUACGUAGGGACCAAGCGUUGUUCGGAUUUACUGGGCGUAAAGGGCGCGUAGGCGGCAAAUCAAGUCAGCUGUGAAAUCUCCGAGCUUAACUCGGAACGGUCAGCUGAUACUGUUUUUGCUAGAGUGCAGAAAGGGCAACCGGUAUUUCUUGGGUGUAGCGGUGAAAUGCGUAUAUAUCAAGAAGAACACCUGAGGCGAA
rnacentral:rRNA from 1 species